rnacentral:rRNA from 1 species
UAAUACCGCAUACGCUCUGAGGAGGAAAGCGGGGGACCCGUAAGGGCCUCGCGCUGCAGGAGUGGCCGAUGUCGGAUUAGCUAGUUGGUGAGGUAAAGGCUCACCAAGGCGACGAUCCGUAGCUGGUCUGAGAGGAUGAUCAGCCACACUGGGACUGAGACACGGCCCAGACUCCUACGGGAGGCAGCAGUGGGGAAUUUUGGACAAUGGGGGCAACCCUGAUCCAGCCAUGCCGCGUGAGUGAAGAAGGCCUUCGGGUUGUAAAGCUCUUUCGGACGGGACGAAAUGGUUAGCGUGAAUAACGCUGACUGAUGACGGUACCGUAAUAAGAAGCACCGGCUAACUACGUGCCAGCAGCCGCGGUAAUACGUAGGGUGCGAGCGUUAAUCGGAAUUACUGGGCGUAAAGCGUGCGCAGGCGGUUCGCCAAGUCAGGUGUGAAAUCCCCGGGCUUAACCUGGGAAUUGCGCUUGAAACUAGCGGGCUUGAGUGUGGCAGAGGGGGGUGGAAUUCCACGUGUAGCAGUGGAAUGCGUAGAGAUGUGGAGGAACACCGAUGGCGAAGGCAGCCCCCUGGGUCAACACUGACGCUCAUGCACGAAAGCGAGGGGAGCAAACAGGAUUAGAUACCCUGGUAGUCC